AUUGAACGCUGGCGGCGUGCUUAACACAUGCAAGUCGAACGAAGUGGCGAACGGGUGAGUAACGCGUAAUCAACCUGCCCUUCAGAGGGGGACAACAGUUGGAAACGACUGCUAAUACCGCAUACUGAAGGAGGGGCUUGCGUCUGAUUAGCUAGUUGGCGGGGUAACGGCCCACCAAGGCGAUGAUCAGUAGCCGGGCUGGGAGGAUGAACUGCCAGAUUGGAACUGAGACACUGCCCAGAAUCCUACGGGAGGCAGCAGUUGGGAAUCUUCCGCAAUGGACGAAAGUCUGACGGAGCAACGCCGCGUGAGUGAUGACAGCCUUCGGGUUGUAAAGCUCUGUUAAUCGGGACGCGGUACCGGAAGAGAAAGCCACGGCUAACUACGUGCCAGCCGCCGCGGUAAUAC
rnacentral:rRNA from 1 species